rnacentral:lncRNA from 1 species
CUCAAUAAAAAAGUAUUUCUCCUCUCAUGUUUUUGUUCUCUCUUUUGUUCGUAGUUUUAUAACACAAUCCAAUUAAGUUAAUUCCGGACAAAUUUCGGUUAGAUUGUAUCGAUUUAGGUGUCAUUCCAUGUAAAAAGACAAUUUUGCACCUGGACAUUUAUUGAGCAUGCUGAUCAGUCAAACUUGGUUCGAUUCAAAAUCGAAUCGGCUGGGUCAAUAGUGGCGGUUGGACUGACUGGUCAAACUCGAGUUGAUUUAGAAGUCCAAUUAGUUGGGUCAGUUAGUAAGGCAGAUAGGUCAGAUUUUAGAUCUAUUAGAGGAUCAUUUUCGCCUUUUCAAAUUUGAUUCUUUCGACAUAGAAAUGAUUUUAGAUCGGUCAGUCCCUUAGGAUAUAGGCCUGUCCCAUCUCACAGAUCAUGGCCAUCUUCAUCGACCCUGAAUCACGGACGUAAACGAGAUUAGGGAACGCAAUCAGGAAAGAGGAGAAGGAGUAGAAGGCGAUUUCAUACCAUACCUGCUCGCUCCUCCCCGUAAACUUGACUAAAGCCGGAUUCGAACUCCUCCAUCUACUCUCUUUGGUCGCUCAUCUUGAUGGAUUCCCCUUCCUGAGUAUUAGUCGCUGAAAUUAGAAGAUUAGGAAGCGAGUGAGUUAGAAUUGAGCGGAUUUGACAAAAGGUUUAGAUCCAGAAGGAAACUAAGAGAGGAAGGGGAGAUCGUAACCAUACGUACCCGAGGGAGAUUCGCCAGGUGGGAGGGUCGAGCUAAUUCCAUUGGUGGGAGUCUAGAUCAGAGGAGGCCACUGCUAGUUCAAGCGAGAAAGGAUGAGAGGAUUUUGGGUGUGAGGCGGCUGUAGAGAGGAGGAUAUGAGAGAAAGCCCUUUUCUCCUAGGGUUACACGAUUUAGA